rnacentral:lncRNA from 1 species
CUACACCAAGCUGAAAUGCCUGAGUACCAUCCAAAAGGGAAGAAAAAAAAAUGUGUCCUGUAGUAUCAAAAAUGCUGGAAUGGAGAUAUAAAGUAAUGUAUAGUCAGUGAGAGCAUGUUUUAUAUCUAUGACAGAAUAUUCUGACAUUAGAAGCGCAGACUAAAAUCAAACAAAAUGAAACAACAGUAUGUCCAGCACUCAGCUUUGUAAAAAUCCCAGGCUGUAAGCACAUUUAAUUUAUUUUUCAGGAUGACACAGCAGCUAAAACAAUUUAGUCCACAAGAAGAUUCCACAAACAAUGCAUCAACAGUCUCCCAAAAUAUACAUAUUUACUUUUAAUUCCUCAGUUGAGGCCAUGGAAAUAAAAAUGGAGGUGAGUGAGAAAAUUAUUGUGGACCCUGAUAAUCACUGAACUAUUGAUAAUGGGGAUAAAAUAAACAUUUGGGGAACUUUACUGGCUACUCAGUGUUAUACCCAUUCACAUUAGAGGUUUAAUUCUUAAGGAAUGAUUUAUGAAAAAAUAAAGGGAUUCUACUGGAACUUCUUGAGACAUACAAACCCUGAGAGAGGCUUAGUAUUUUAAAAAAAACCUAUAGAAAAAUUUGCACUUGGAUAAUCCUGUAGUACCCCAAUUAAUUAGAAGAAAUAUGUUCCAGGGAAGCAUUUCAUUUCUGAAAUCCUGCAACACUCUCCCUAAGACAAUGAACAGGAUUUACUGUGGCUACCAAGUCGUCACUGACCCUGAAGAUUGGUUCCACUCACUCUUUGUGGUUCAAAAAAAGCACACCCAGCUUACCAUUUGGUUUUAGCUUCUUGCUCACAUAGUGUUUGAGGGGUUUUGUUGUUUCUUUUUGACAUACCAUGUGAUUUUAUUCUAAGGAGGUCAAGAACAGGCAAAAAUAUAGGGAAAAAUUUAAACAGUGGUUGCCUCAGAAAGUAGAGAUCAGGGGUUGAUUACCAAGGGGCAUAAGGGGACUUUUGUUUUAUAUCUUCAUUGGAGUAGCUGGUUACACAGGCAUACACUGUCAAAACAUUUAACUGUUUAUGUGACAUCUGUGUAUUACAUUAUAUGCAAAUUUUAUCUGAAAAUGUAAGCUAAAUAUGACUGUGCUCAGAAUUAAUGGAAAAGUGUAGACCUUCCUAAACUCCUUUCAACCCCUGGGGGUGAUGCUUUAAAGCCAGCGAGGUUUCUUUGUAUCCAGACAGAGAAUGUGAGUCCCAGCAUGUAACAAGGGAUGAAGUGGAGGCUAGGCUGGGGCUGAGUAUGAUGACAUGAGGCAGUGUCAAUCAUACUAAGAGGACAACCUGGGACAGGGAUGUGGGCUGCAGGAAGAUGCCCCUUAGGACCAAAACUGCAUCAGGUAAGUGCCUGCCAAGAGCUGUCUUCUGAAAAUGGGCAUCUGACCUUAUUAAGAAAGGUUGGUUGGGUUGGCUGUUGAAGGCCUCUAGCCAGCUCUUGCACAUGGCUGAAUUAUCUGAUGGAACCAGGACGAGCUUAAUGUUUC